GGCAGACAGAAUGGAGGUAUUUACUAACGCACGGCACACGAAGGGAGAGGCGACAAGCACUGGGAGAGACGCAUCGUGCUGUGGGGACGUUGUAACAAAUUAAUCACCACUACAAACUGCUGGUGCUAGUGACGUGUUGGGGGCAAAGUGACAGUUCUACAGCAAAUGAAUCUGGUAACCAUCUUGGCCUGCGUCACACAAAGGGAAGGAGCCGAAUAACGCAUCCCUGACGAAGAAGAAGGAUAGAUAGACAGACAGACGAACAGACAGACAGACGGGAAGAACAGACAGCUGAGUGGGCCGUCAGCUGUCCUCGCUACGAAGCACGGAGCGAUGGAGCAACAGCUGGCGCCUCUACAUAGAAUCCCAGAGAAAGAACCAAAGAACCACCGCUGCUGUAUUCAAUUUAUCGACAAAAAGAAAGAACGCGUGGCAUUGACUAGUCCCUGCGUGGCGCGGCUGAAAGAUGACGGAAAGGGAGAAAAAGAAGAAAUAAAAAAAGCAUCACCCGGAGCUUAUAAAGAAGAUAAAUAAAGUGCAAUGAAACACGCAAUAAACACAAGCCGGGUAACAGUUAUAGCGGAUAAAUAUCAACGAAAGUGAAUGAGGAAGAAGGGAGAGGGAGGAUGAUAAAAAAAAGUCUUGAAUCAGCUGGUGAGACUAACAAUGGUGACGCCCGCAGCUCACCAGUGUAGCCUCACCAAGCUGGCUGUCUGGUCCCUCGGGGCGUCCAUUGCUGAUGAUGAAGAGGAAGAGGAAGCCAAGUGGUCGUAAGUUAUCGCCCUGAGGUACACCGCAGGUCACAAACUUAGCAGAACACGACAUCACGAAGACCGGAGAGAGAUCUAGAGACUCUUUAUAUCAAACCUUCCGACCAUAUUUUGAAACACUUCAGCGUCUCACCUCCACUACUUGCAAACGGCUUUACUUGGGGCUAUACGGAUUUCUAGGGGCGUUUUGAGCAUCCUAAUGACACAUGAACAAGAUCUUUACGUUGCUGAAAGAAGAAACUCUUGAAAACUCUGCAAAUCAUCUCUUUGGCCUUUGAAAAUAGUCAUGGUAAGAGAACCUCUGUGUAAUUCUCCUUUUUUUUCAUGGUUUCGUUUAAGACCUUAAGAGACUUUCAGAGGAGCGGAAGGGAGCGUCAAGUUGAAGUUUCUAUUAUGAUAAACACCAGCUGAUGGAAUGGAAGGUAGUACAGCCACGUCCAGCAGGUCUGAGUUGAGGGGCGCAGGAAACAUUCAUUGCAUCCUUCACCUCCGGAUCGUCCUACCCUGCAAUUUCUUAGCCGAGUCAAUUCGG